AGAAGGUAGAACAUGAGGAGCCGAUGGGACCCCAGGGGAGAGCCCAGGACCCCCCACAACAGUGGUGGAACACACUUCUUAUAGUGCUUAUACCCCCACUGAGUUGCAGGAGUUGAGUAAACAGUGUUGGCAGCGCCCAGGGGAGCCCCUGCCAGCCUGGCUACUCCGUUUUUGGGAUGAGGGGGCUGAUAGCAUUUCUUGCUCUGCCUCCGAGAUGGAGAAGCUGGCCUCUAUUACAACUCACUCCUCCCUUCGUCAGACACUGCAGCUGUGCCAAUCAUUGGCACACGGGCAAGGUGUGGACAUUAAUAGAGUGGCUGAUGGCAGCCAUAUGGACUGUUUGGAAUGAUGCCAGAGAGAUAUCAAAAAUUGUGAGUAAAUGGCAAUCAUAUUCUGAUUUGGUGCAGGUACUCUGGGAGAUGGGCAGGUGACAGGCUAUGUUUUAUCUGAAUAUCCAGGGGCCAGAACGUUUUACCUCCCACAUGAGGGAUCUUGUGCUGGGCUCAGCGCCCCCGAGUGCUUUUGGCUAGAGUGCUUUUAGCACCCCCAUAUAUGGGGCACCGCAUAUAUGAAGUGACUACUGGCUGAGGUAGUAGACACAACACAGAGAAGCUCCCCACCUGGCUCUCAGCUACUAUUGUUUGUGUAGGGUAUAAAUGUAACGCUGACCCUGUGAGGGGCUGCUGAAUUGGCUUGUAGGCGAUUGGCCCAUUUGGGGCUAAGCGAUGUGGCAAGACCUCUGGGAAAUAGGUCAUCAGAAAUAGGUAACUAUUAUGUGUCAGGUCAUGUGCCUUUGGCCACCCCCUGUAAUGUUGAGGCGGAUGCCUUAGCCAAGGUCUGAUGGUUAGAGUCGGCACCUACACAAGAUGUAGCUUUGUGGCUACACAGGAAACUGGGACAGUUUCUGAACUGAUGUACUGAACUGAUGUAACAGGUCAGUAGGUACUGGGGUCUGUCUUUGCCUUCGCAGGACACUUUGGAGGCCUGCCGGAAGUGCCAGGCAUGCGCCCAGGCAUACCCCAGACGGAGACAGCUGCCCACUGUAACACAGCGAGUGACGUGGUAGAUUGGCGGCUCCAACAGCAUCGUAGACUGGGCCCACACCUACGCCGAGGUGACCAAUGUCUCCAACUGUUGGAUCUGCACCGCCCUUCCAGCAGCAGCUGCAGACAGCUGGCCCUGGCAUGUGCAUCCAGCUUCUGUGAAGAACCGGACAUAGCUAGAGACUUGAGGUCCCACAGACAAUGCGUGGGAUGCAACACAGUGGGCUUUGGAUGGGGGCAUGGCAAACCCCAUGGCGAGCCUGCCCCCUGGCUGACUCGCAGUGUCCAUGAUGAAUGGGGCUGGUUAAUGGGAAACACAUAGUGCCCCCAUUGCAGGUACCAUGAUGUAUAGAGAAGCACUGGGGUAAUGUCACUGUAGGAUGGUUGCCUGCUGAGGUUUGUGCAAAUAAAACAUGUGUCACCACACCAAGGGUGUGGAGGAACAAGCGACCUUACCAAGGCCGGGCCCCCAUGGACUUUGUGCCCCCUGGGAAUUUAUGGGUCUGUGGGGACACAGGAUGGCCAAAUCUGCCAGCCAAUUGGACUGGACGUUGUACCUGGGGGUGGCCUUAUGUGCCUGCCAUCAUGCUUCCCACAUUGCCUAGUUGCCCACAUAAUUGGGAGGCACUGCAUUCCCACUUUUUCUGAGUGCAGGGCACCCCCUGGUGGUUUUAUCCCUUAGCAAUACGUAUCCCUGGAGCAGGUGUCAUUACUUUGGAAAAGCAGGUUACAGCCUUUGCAGAGCACACAGCUGGGGCCCUAAAUUACACCCAAGUUGCUCUCCUUUUGUUAACUAAUGAAGUUGACCAGGUCAGGAAGGUGGUGCUGCAAAACACGAUGGCCUUAGACAUAGCCUUAGACAUGCAAGGACAUAGGUGGCCCCUGUGCCUUGUAGGGACACAAUGUUGUACAUUUAUCCCUGAAAACCACUGGAAUGUAACGGCAGCUUUGCAAGGGGUGUCAUAGGAGAUUAAGGCAAUUGAGCACCUUACUGAUGACCCCCUACAGAGAUGGUGGGCGUCUUUUGGGCUCUGGCCUAUGUUGGGCUCUCAUAAUCAUAAGUAGCAUAGCAGGAUAUUCCUGGUAGGUUGUUGCUCUCUGUGUGGUUGCUGUGGCCUAUGGGUCCAGGGUACUGCCAUAUGUGCACAGGUCCCCACCAAGAGGAUCCCCUUGGCCUAGAGGAUGGAGUGUAAGGAACAUGGCUGUGCUGUAGCCAAGCAGGCAUAGGGCAGCAGGCAUAGGCCAAGGUAAACAGCCUAAAUGACUCAGAGGGAUUGGGG
ensembl:lncRNA novel transcript